CCUACGGGAGGCAGCAGUGAGGAAUGUUGGUCAAUGGCCGGGAGGCUGAACCAGCCAAGUCGCGUGAGGGAAGACGGCCCUACGGGUUGUAAACCUCUUUUGUCAGGGAGCAAGGUGCAGGUCGGGACCUGCUGUGAGAGUACCUGAAGAAAAAGCAUCGGCUAACUCCGUGCCAGCAGCCGCGGUAAUACGGAGGAUGCGAGCGUUAUCCGGAUUUAUUGGGUUUAAAGGGUGCGCAGGCGGAGGCACAAGUCAGCGGUAAAAUCGCGGGGCUCAACCCCGCUCCGCCGUUGAAACUGUGGCCCUUGAGUGCGCGAAGGGUAGGCGGAAUGCGUGGUGUAGCGGUGAAAUGCAUAGAUAUCACGCAGAACUCCGAUCGCGAAGGCAGCCUACCGGCGCGCAACUGACGCUCAUGCACGAAAGCGUGGGUAUCGAACAGGAUUAGAUACCCCAGUAGUC
rnacentral:rRNA from 1 species